AUGGUCUCCACAUGGCAGCUCCUCUGGCUGCUGGUGCUCUGGGCUCAGGAUUCCCAAGGAGACAUUGUGCUGACCCAGUCUCCAGCCUCCUUGUCUGGAUCUCCAGGAGAGAGAGUCACCAUCAGCUGCAAGGCCUGUCAGAAUGUAACAGAUAGUAUUGGUAUUAGCCAACUUCAUUGGUACAAGCAGAAACCUGGACAAGCCCCCAGGCUCCUGAUCUCCUAUGCUAACAGCCUGGCAUCUGGAUUGCCUGCCCAGUUCAGUGGCAGUGGUUCUGGGACAGAUUUCACUCUCACCAUCAGCAGCUUGGAGCCUGAAGAUGCUGGAGAUUAUUACUGUCAGCCGAGUAAAGACUGGCCUCCCACAGUGCUUCAGCUCUGA